GUGGGGAAUUUUGGACAAUGGGCGCAAGCCUGAUCCAGCAAUGCCGCGUGCAGGAAGAAGGCCUUCGGGUUGUAAACUGCUUUUGUACGGAACGAAACGGUCCGGGUUAAUACCCUGGGCUAAUGACGGUACCGUAAGAAUAAGCACCGGCUAACUACGUGCCAGCAGCCGCGGUAAUACGUAGGGUGCAAGCGUUAAUCGGAAUUACUGGGCGUAAAGCGUGCGCAGGCGGUGCUGUAAGACAGGCGUGAAAUCCCCGGGCUCAACCUGGGAAUUGCGCUUGUGACUGCAGUGCUGGAGUGCGGCAGAGGGGGAUGGAAUUCCGCGUGUAGCAGUGAAAUGCGUAGAUAUGCGGAGGAACACCGAUGGCGAAGGCAAUCCCCUGGGCCUGCACUGACGCUCAUGCACGAAAGCGUGGGGAGCAAACAGGAUUAGAAACCCCAGUAGUCC
rnacentral:rRNA from 1 species